CUGCUUCUACAUCGGGUCGACAUUAAGAUUGCUUCAGUAACUCCAACCAAAUAUCACCUUUAGUUAAUUUAUCAUACUGUGGUACUAAAUACAACGAACAAUAAGUGUGUUUGGAAUCUAGCUAGAUAUAAUGACUUUGGCCAAUUUCCUACUGUUAUCCGUCAGUGGUACUUGACAAAGUACAAACAAGGACUGUGUAUAAUAUUUGGCGUCACACAAUAACUCUGGUGAGUUUAUUUAUUAUUAAUUGUUUGUAUACUUUACAAAAUACAUAUAAGUCAUUUGUACAGAGCCCGAGAAGUUUAUGUAGUCAAGGCUGUUUGCUGGAUCACUAUUUAUAAGUGGUACUCUUCGGGCACCUCUCUAUACAGUAUAAUACUUAGAGCCUUCUGAAACUCUCACCUAGCAGUUGGAUGUAUGUGAUGUUUAACUUAUAAGUGGAACUACUGAUAUUGUUGGGUCAAGCAAGAACUUAAGUCCAACGCUAUGCCAGGUUACUCACACAUCUAAAUGUUGACAGAGAAUUAAUUCUAUGGUGAAAAAAACUAUGACAACUAAACUUAGUGAACACGCCAUCUGGGAUUAAUUAUCAACAGAUCAUCAGGUUCAUCAUCAACAACACCCGAUCGCCAGGUUCAGUAUCUUCAUUGCCAUAGCUUCCAUUUCAGGUAAAACAAGAAAACAACAAGCUAAAGACAAAGGUGUGAAGAUAGGGACCACAACAGGUGCUGAACAUGGAGUAGGUAAUGUUGAACAGGUGUAAAAAUGAUAUGUAAACAGGAUAAAUUCUACAGAUUCUGAAACACCAGUCAAUAGGUGUAAACACCUGAAUCCUGAUAAUGAUUCCUAAUUAGCAUUUCUCAUCAAUAUAUAGGCAGAGUGUGAAUAACUAUGGAAAUGAAAAUGAAUGUAUCCCCCCCCCCCCCUUCCUGUCAGUAGUGUGAAAUCGUGAGGGUAUCCACCCUAUAGAGUACUCACUGUCAGUAGUGUGGAAUCCUGAGGAUACCCCUUAGAGUACCCCACUGUCAGUAAUGUGGAAUCCUGAGGAUACCCCUUAGAGUACCCCACUGUCAGUAAUGUGGAAUCCUGAGGAUACCCCUUAGAGUACCCCACUGUCAGUAAUGUGGAAUCCUGAGGAUACCCCUUAGAGUACCCCACUGUCAGUAAUGUGGAAUCCUGAGGAUACCCCUUAGAGUACACCAACUGUCAGUAGUGUGGAAUCCUGAGAAUACCCAUUAGAGUACCCCAACUGUCAGUAGUGUGGAAUCCUGAGGAUAUCCCUUAGAGUACCCCACUGUCAGUAGUGUGGAAUCCUGAGGAUACCCCUUAGAGUACCCCAACUGUCAGUAGUGUGGAAUCCUGAGGGUACCCCUUAGAGUACCCCACUGUCAGUAAUGUGGAAUCCUGAGGAUACCCCUUAGAGUACCCCACUGUCAGUAAUGUGGAAUCCUGAGGAUACCCCUUAGAGUACCCCAACUGUCAGUAGUGUGGAAUCCUGAGGAUACCCCUUAGAGUACCCCACUGUCAGUAGUGUGGAAUCCUGAGGAUACCUCUUAGAGUACCCCAACUGUCAGUAGUGUGGAAUCCUGAGGAUACCCCUUAGAGUACCCCACUGUCAGUAAUGUGGAAUCCUGAGGAUACCCCUUAGAGUACCCCACUGUCAGUAAUGUGGAAUCCUGAGGAUACCCCUUAGAGUACCCCACUGUCAGUAAUGUGGAAUCCUGAGGAUACCCCUUAGAGUACCCCACUGUCAGUAAUGUGGAAUCCUGAGGAUACCCCUUAGAGUACCCCACUGUCAGUAAUGUGGAAUCCUGAGGAUACCCCUUAGAGUACCCCAACUGUCAGUAGUGUGGAAUCCUGAGGAUACCCCUUAGAGUACCCCAACUGUCAGUAGUGUGGAAUCCUGAGGAUACCCCUUAGAGUACCCCACUGUCAGUAGUGUGGAAUCCUGAGGAUACCCCUUAGUGUACCCCAACUGUCAGUAGUGAGGAAUUCUGAGGAUACCCCUUAGAGUACCCCAACUGUCAGUAGUGUGGAAUCCUGAGGAUACCCCUUAGAGUACCCCAACUGUCAGUAGUGUGUAAUCAUAAGAUACCCCUUAGAGUACCCCAACUGUCAGUAGUGUGGAAUCCUGAGGAUACCCCUUAGAGUACCCCACUGUCAGUAGUGUGGAAUCCUGUGGAUACCCCUUAGAGUACCCCAACUGUCAGUAGUGUGGAAUCCUGAGGAUACCCCUUAGAGUACCCCAACUGUCAGUAGUGUGGAAUCCUGAGGAUACCCCUUAGAGUACCCCACUGUCAGUAGUGUGGAAUCCUGAGGAUACCCCUUAGAGUACCCCAACUGUCAGUAGUGUGGAAUCCUGAGGAUACCCCUUAGAGUACCCCACUGUCAGUAGUGUGGAAUCCUGAGGAUACCCCUUAGAGUACCCCACUGUCAGUAGUGUGGAAUCCUGAGGAUACCCCUUAGAGUACCCCAACUCUCAGUAGUGUGGAAUCCUGAGGAUACCCCUUAGAGUACCCCAACUCUCAGUAGUGUGAAAUACCCUGACUGACUGUCAAUGGUGAGACACCGUCAGGUCAAUAGAUAGAUUUCGUACGGACCUGUUUUAAAGUCCCACUUACCAAACAGCUUUAAUUGUCUAUGACACUGACACCUAUACUUUAAAAACCCUGAUUGGCUUGUGUGAAGAAGAAGUAAUAAAAACCAUAAUUUCAUAACAGAAGCACAUGCAAUGUCGAUAUAUAAUAUACCACCAAACUUACAUGAAUAAUAUACGUCUGCAAAUGAAUUGAUGUAAUAUUUCGUAAAGGUCUCGACAGUUAAGGUAUGAAUAACAGAUAUUGAUAUAGCUUUGAUGGUUAUCAGAGAGCCAUUCAACAAAAGUAAACUAAGCCAGGUGAAAAGUUUGUGUGGAAACGCUCGCACACAACAUACACCUAUUGGAUUAGUUGAGAUUAGGACGGCUAAUGUAUUGUGUCCGCGAGUGGUCGCGACUUGACUACUGAUAGUAUGUUGUAUACAAACUAACCACUGGGUUAAUACACUGGCACCUGACACAAUGUCCAUUAACGGACAAUUCAGUGAGGGGAAUUCCAUGUUUUUAUGAUUGUGUAUGAGAAUUUGAUGAUAAAACUGUGGACUAAAAUGAAAACGUUAACAAGUUUUUCAGGAAAUGGAAUUUUGGACGAUUAAUUGUGUUUUUUAUGGAGAAACUGGUCAUUGUAACAAAACAAGUGGACACCUUCAGAUAUGAAUGGACAAUCGGCUUAACCUGGAAUUACACAGUAAUCAGCCUGUAAUCAGUUGCCUUUCCGCAGAUUAACGAGAAAUCCAAGAUGUCUGAUUUUGAGUCAGAUACUCCGCGAAAAGAAUCGCCAAGGAGAGCUAAAGUAAGGACAUCUGAUAGUGCCUCUCCGCCACGGUCUGCACGGCAUGGCUCGCCUCCCAAAUCGGGACGUUCUAAAAAGAGUAAUGACAAAACUCCAUCACCAUCACGCAGUAAAAAGAGUGCAUCCUCAGACCACUCAGCCAAGUCAGCCAAGAAGAAGCGGACUGUCACUAUGAAGGUGUCGGAUCUGACUGAAUCGGGGCUGAAGAAAAAGGUGUUCACAGGCGAAGGGACUUACAGUAGUCCCCGUUAGUCUACUUCACGAAGCCAACAUCGGGGAGCUGUACCUGAACAACAACAAUCUGCGAACACUACCACCCGACAUUAAAAGAUGGAAGAAUUUACAGAAACUAGAUAUCAGUAAAAAUGGAAUUCGUU